rnacentral:RNase_P_RNA from 1 species
AUUUUCGGAUAAUCGCGGCUUGAGUAAAUCAAGUUGAGGAAAGUCCAUGCUCGCACAGACUGAGAUGUCUGUAGUGUUCGUGCUUGGCGAAAAAAUAAGCUGAGGUAUUUCAUUUGAAAUAACGGCAGGAAAAAAAGCUAAGGUGUCUUUACACUAUGCUUGAGUAUCCUUGAAAGUGCCACAGUGACGAAGCAAUAAGAGAAAUCUUAUUGGUGGAACGCGGUAAACCCCUCGAGUGAGCAACCCAAACAAAGGU